UGAAUUUGAAUGGGACCAGAAGAUUCUCUGGGGGUCAUGUUUGUGGCCCUUGAGAAGCAGCCUCUCUGCUGCUUUCAGCUGAUUUCCUGGCAUGUUUCGUGGGGAUUUGUGAAUAAACCUGGAAAAUAAGAAAUGAACAUGGAAUUUUCCUCUGUGUCUGACGGCUGUGCACUCCCUUCAUGCCUCUUGUGAUGCUCUAUAUUUGUGAUGGCCAAGAGAUACAGCUGUCUGGAAAACACUCAACAGAUGGCCUUUGGGGGGUGAUGCUUCAUCCUUUUUUGCAGGCUCUCGGACACCUAAGCUCAGGAUUUCCGUAAGUGCUGGUGAGCAAUGGACUCCUUUCGAGCAACAUGCGUUCGGAAUGUUCAGUGACAAAAUUCAUCCUCCUCCAAAAAAUGAGAAGAAACUGAGGUGUCCAUAUGAAAUGAAUGUGCACUAUCAUACUCAA